rnacentral:rRNA from 1 species
GGCUCAGGAUGAACGCUAGCGGCAGGCUUAACACAUGCAAGUCGAGGGGCAUCGGGAGUAGCAAUACUGCCGGCGACCGGCGCAAGGGUGCGUAACGCGUGAGCAACAUGCCCGUAUCAGGGGGGAUAAUCCAUGGAAACGUGGUCUAAUACCCCAUAGUAAUUAUGUAAGGCAUCUUAUAUAAUUUAAAGCUUUGGUGGAUACGGAUUGGCUCGCGUGACAUUAGCUGGAUGGUAAGGUAACGGCUUACCAUGGCUACGAUGUCUAGGGGUUCUGAGAGGAAGGUCCCCCCACACUGGAACUGAGACACGGUCCAGACUCCUACGGGAGGCAGCAGUGAGGAAUAUUGGACAAUGGAUGGAAAUCUGAUCCAGCCAUGCCGCGUGCAAGGAAGACGGCCCUAUGGGUUGUAAACUGCUUUUGUAUGGGAGCAAUAAGGGCUACGUGUAGUCCGAUGAGAGUACCAUACGAAUAAGCACCGGCUAACUCCGUGCCAGCAGCGGC